rnacentral:miRNA from 1 species
UGGAGCGAGAGCGGGACCGCGA